ACUACGAAAACGUUAGUUGGAAUAACUCCAUCAGGAUUUUUCAGUCUUGUGUCAAAAUUGUGGAGCGGAAGUACAAGUGACCGCAAACUCACCCAAAAGAGUGGAAUUUUGGAAUUGAUUGAGGAAGGGGACCACAUUAUGGCUGACAGAGGAUUUGCAGAGACUUGCUUACAAAGCGAAAGGCCUUCCUAAACAUGCCUCCCUUCUCUAAGAAAGGUCAGCAACUGUCCAAAAAGUCACUGAAGACAACAAGAUCAAUUGCCAGUGCAAGAAUUCAUGUUGAGAGAGCCAUUGAGAGACUGAAAGACUUCCAUAUUCUACAAGGAAAUCUGCCUAUACCACUUGUACCUCUUGCUGAUAAAAUAUUAAUAGUUUGUGCUGCUUUGUGUAACGUACUACCUCCACUUACAAAGUAGAACUCUACCGUAUGCUUCCACUUUAUCAUAGAAACAACUACAACUAACUUCACGAAGCAAAGAAAUCUUUCAGAUUUAUCUUACCCUUCACUUAACCCACUUAAAACUUUUGGUUCAGUUCACAAAGAAAGUAUGUUUUUUGGAAUUCAUCCACAGAAGAUAGCACUAGUUUACCAAAAAAAAAAAGACCACAAUCACUUCCGUGAUGUUUACAAUAUAUGCACCUUGAAGUACUGUCAUAUAUUUCUUGAGUUCAAAACAGUACAACAUGCAAAAAACAAGUGUAUUCUCUAACCUGCAAACAGGUCAUUAAGACUAUUUUGCAUCUUG